UACGUAGGGGGGCAAGCGUUGUCCGGAUUUAUUGGGCGUAAAGAGCGUGUAGGCGGCUUGGUAGGUCUUGCGUCAAAACCUGAGGCUCAACCUCAGUUCGCGUGGGAAACCAUCUAGCUAGAGUCCGGAAGGAGGAGAACGGAAUUCCCAGUGUAGCGGUGAAAUGCGGCAGAUAUUGGGAAGAACACCAGUGGCGAAGGCGGUUCUCUGGGACGGUACUGACG
rnacentral:rRNA from 1 species